AUGAGCAUUGGCAGGACAUCACAUGUUAAUGUUGUUACCUUAUUUGGGUUUUGUUUGGAGGGAUCAAAACGAGCUCUUAUAUAUGAAUACAUGUCGAACAGUUCCUUGGAUAAGUUCCUUUACUCAGAGAACCCCAAAGAAGUUUUAGGAUGGGAGAGGCUCUAUGAAAUAGCACUCGGGAUUGCUCAUGGCCUCCAAUACUUGCACUAUAGCUGUAAUACACGCAUCAUCCAUUUCGAUAUCAAGCCUCAAAAUAUCCUUCUGGACAGUGAUUUUAGCCCCAAAAUUGCUGAUUUUGGUCUCGCUAAAUUGUGUCAUACGAAAGAGAGUAAAGUUUCAAUGACUGGUGGUGCUAGAGGAACAAUUGGAUUCAUUGCCCCAGAAGUUCAUUCUAGAACCUUCGGAGUGGUUUCAACAAAGUCAGAUGUUUAUAGUUAUGGAAUGAUGUUGUUGGAGAUGGUUGGAGGCAGGAGAAAUGUAAAAUCAAUUGUUGAAAAAUCCAGUGAAAAGUAUUUCCCAGAUUGGAUUUAUGACCACUUUUCACAAGAUGAAGGUUUGCAGGCAUGUGAUGUGACAAGUGAAACUACGGAGAUAGCUAGAAAGAUGACAUUAAUUGGCCUGUGGUGCAUACAGGUAUUACCUAUGUAUCGCCCUACUAUAACACGAGUUCUGGAAAUGUUUGAGAGAAGCUUAAAUGAACUGGACAUGCCACCAAAGCAGAACUUCUCACUAACUUGA
rnacentral:rRNA from 1 species